GGCGGCGCCCUGUGCCCAGGGCGCGUCCGGCCGCUCCUCGCCGCGGGCCGCCCGGGGACGUGUGGGCGCCGAGGGCGCUUGGGCUCUGAGCACUGCGGGGCUGCGGGCUCGGCGCCCCGGGGAGGCGGGCGCGUGGCCGCCAGAGCGAGUGCCCCAGCCAGCUGCGAUCGCGGGGUUUCUGAGCCAGGAGAUGAGAGUAACUAGAGCUCAGGGAUGACAAGGUUCUGCAGCUGCGGGGCCCAGAGGCGAGAGAUAAAUGAUGAUGUCCUUUGAGCACCCGCUGGAAACUGGGCAGGAGGGACAGUAACCCCAGGAGAGCGUAGGCCUUGCAGGGACGCGGGGAUGACGCCUCUGGAGGCCCCAGCCUCCCUCCCGCCUGGGUGGUAGGAGCCUUCCCCGGGCUCCAGCCUG
rnacentral:lncRNA from 1 species